GAGACAGCAGUCGCCGCGGGAAUACGUAGGUCCCGAGCGUUGUCCGGAUUUAUUGGGCGUAAAGGGAGCGCAGGCGGUUUAGUAAGUCUGAAGUUAAAGGCAUUGGCUCAACCAAUGUAUGCUUUGGAAACUGUUAGACUUGAGUGCAGAAGGGGAGAGUGGAAUUCCAUGUGUAGCGGUGAAAUGCGUAGAUAUAUGGAGGAACACCGGUGGCGAAAGCGGCUCUCUGGCUUGUAACUGACGCUGAGGCUCGAAAGCGUGGGGAGCAAACAGGAUUAGAUACCCCGGUAGUCCCUGUCUCUUAUACA
rnacentral:rRNA from 1 species